CCCAAGUAUGCUUAUCCCUACCCUGCUCAAGGCUAUUAUCAAGGGCCCCCGGUGAUGGCACCACCACAAUAUGCAGCUCCACCACCUAGGAGAGAGCCUGGUUUCCUUGAGGGCUGCUUUGUGUUGCUGCUGUCUCAUUGAUGAGUGUUGCUUUGAUCCUUCCAUCAUCUUCAUCAGCUGAUAAGAAAUCUCUGUAAUUUCACUGCAUCUGUAUUGUUAAUAAACCCUGAUUUAUGACCAGUGGUUGUGUUGGUUUGUUUUGUGGUUUGAUGAAUCUUCAUCCCUGUAAUUUAAUUCAAGGAAGAAAAUAGUAGUAAUCGAAUUUAUGGUUGA